GAUGAACGCUGGCGGCGUGCUUAACACAUGCAAGUCGAGCGAACGGCCGAGUAGCUUGUUCUUCGGGUGUUAUCGGCUUAUGGGUGAGUAACACGUGGAUAAGUUACCUAUAAGUCAGGGAUAACUUCGGGAAACCGGAGCUAAUAUCGGAUAAUAUUUUAAACCGCAUGGUUCAAGAGUGAAAGACUGUCUUGCUGACACCUAUAGAUGGAUCCGCUCUGCAUUAGUUAGUUGGUAAGGUAACGGCUUACCAAGGCAACGAUGCAUAGCCGACCUGAGGGGAUGAUCCACCACACAGGAGCGGGGGCGCGGUGCAGACUCGGACGGGAGGCACCAGUAGGGAACCUUCCGGAAGGGGCGGAGGCCUGUAGUGGCAACGCGGCGUGAGUGAUGAAGGUCUUCGGAUCGUAAGACACUGUGAUUAGGGGAGAGCAUAGGUGUAAGUAACUGUGCGCAUCUGAACGGAACCUAAGCAGAAGGCCCGGGCUAAUUCGGG
rnacentral:rRNA from 1 species